rnacentral:rRNA from 1 species
UACAGAGGUGGCAAGCGUUGUUCGGAAUUACUGGGCGUAAAGGGCGCGUAGGCGGCCCUCUAAGUCCCGUGUGAAAGCCCCCGGCUCAACCGGGGGAACUGCACGGGAAACUGGAAGGCUUGAGUUCGGGAGAGGGAAGCGGAAUUCCGGGUGUAGCGGUGAAAUGCGUAGAUAUCCGGAGGAACACCGGUGGCGAAGGCGGCUUCCUGGACCGACACUGACGCUGAGGCGCGAAAGCGUGGGGAGCGAACAGG